GGGAAGUUAUCCCGUAGAGGCAGCGGUGCUGACUGUAAAUCAGUUGCUUAACGGCUCGGGUGGUUCGACUCCAUCACUUCCCA
rnacentral:tRNA from 1 species